CACGUCCCCAACAGGACUCUGAUGUAGCAGAUAUCAGAAGUAUCUAUGGUUUUUGUUUGCUUUUUAAGGAAUGUAUCUGACAACUUGAGCUCUUGAGUCAAAGAUUUUAAGGCCUGGAGGGACUGCUAUCAUCUUCUAGUCUGAACUUCAGCAUAAAACAGGCUACAAAACUCCACCAAAUAAUUCCUGCAUUAGAGCAAUGGUUUCUGGAUGAGUUAUAGAUUAUCUCUUAAAAAGACUUUCAGCCUUGGUUUGAAGACUUUAUGUGACAGAGAGAAUCUAUGACAUCUGCAGGGUUUGAAAAGAGAGAGGCAGAAUUGGCGUUGCCACUUCCAUCAGUAGAACAUGCAAAGGAAACCAGGACAGGGAUGCAAAGUCAGGCCUGGAAGAAGCAAGAGAAGGAGGAGGAGGGCCACAGAAGUUUGAGAACAUGGGCUCAGGCUGAAAUGCUGCCUCUGUGCAUUAUUGCACCAUGUGUGAACCCAGGACAGUUCUGUAGGUGCAGGUGCCAUGUGCAGGUACUCGCCCCAGCACCUGUGCUGAUCAUGGGAGCCACAGGACUUCAAAGGGCUUCAGAUACGGUCAUCUGGUAGGGGACAGUCUUAGCAGUAUUCCAUCAGAGUGAGAGUGCCGUUGGUUUGUCCAGAGAAGGUGUGACAUCUGGCAUCUGAAGUAGCCCAGAAACCUUUUGCAGGCUGAGACUCUAAAUUAGGAUUCCCAACAUCCGCAGAGCGGAUGUGUGGGCUGCCAGGGCCUGUUAGGCAAUCCCAAAGGACCUUGACCAUCUCAGACAGAUCCCAGUUUCUGUAGCUGCUCCCAUUUCUAGAGGCACAUGCUGUGAAAGGGCUACCUGCCUGAAUGAGUGACACAGGUGAUGCCUGAGGAUCUCUCUUCAAUGAAUGUUGAAAAGGUUGGGGUCAGGCAUGCGGGACAAGGUGUGUGGCACUGUGUCCACGGGUGGUGAGAGAUGCUCUCAGCUACCACAGCACCGUGUGGUGGAUCUGCGUGUGGGUGGGCGGUGUUGGUCCUCUGAUGACACAACCCAGAUGUUUCUCCAGCACAUAAUGCUCAGCCCUACUCUGCUUCAAAGAACACAGCUCAGCCUCAGUCCUGAGGUCCUCUCCACGCACCGUAAUUCCCUGCAGACCACCCGUUGAUCACUGCACGAGCGGCAGACCCGGGGAUCCGGCGUUUUCCCCAGAGGCUCUUCCACGUAUCCCUCCUCGGGGCCGCUGCCCCACGGGCCGGAGCCCCGUUUUGCGGCAGGGCCCUGUUCCGCCGAGCCCAGCUUCCAGACCUGCCCCGCCGGGCACCGGCCCCACCGCCGCCGGUGCCGGUGGCGGCUUUUUGGCAUCCCUAAUCGCGGCUGGCCCCUGUGAUUGGCUGCGCGGCUCUGACCCCGCUCGGGCUCCCGGCUGGGCGGAUAAAAGGGGCCUGAGCCGGGGGCUCCUAGGCAUUCCCGGAGCGGGCACCAGGGACCGACGGCCACAG